rnacentral:rRNA from 1 species
AUUGAACGCUGGCGGCAUGCCUUACACAUGCAAGUCGAACGGUAACAGGUCUUCGGAUGCUGACGAGUGGCGAACGGGUGAGUAAUACAUCGGAACGUGCCUAGUAGUGGGGGAUAACUACUCGAAAGAGUGGCUAAUACCGCAUGAGAUCUACGGAUGAAAGCAGGGGAUCGCAAGACCUUGUGCUACUAGAGCGGCCGAUGGCAGAUUAGGUAGUUGGUGGGAUAAAAGCUUACCAAGCCGACGAUCUGUAGCUGGUCUGAGAGGACGAUCAGCCACACUGGGACUGAGACACGGCCCAGACUCCUACGGGAGGCAGCAGUGGGUAAUUUUGGACGAUGGGCGAAAGCCUGAUCCAGCAAUGCCGCGUGCAGGAUGAAGGCCUUCGGGUUGUAAACUGCUUUUGUACGGAACGAAAAGCCCUGGGUUAAUACCCUGGGGUCAUGACGGUACCGUAAGAAUAAGCACCGGCUAACUACGUGCCAGCAGCCGCCGUAA